rnacentral:RNase_P_RNA from 1 species
AAGAGUAGGGGUAGGUGAUUGCAGGCAACCUCUUGUACGAGGUCUUGUACGAGGCUAGCUUGAGGAAAGUCCGGGCUCCCGAAAGACCAGACUUGCUGGGUAAUUCCCAGUGCGAGCGAUCGUGAGGAUAGUGCCACAGAAACAUACCGCCGAUGGGAUUCACGGUUCCUGUGAGCACUGCUCACGGGAAUUGUAGUCUACAGGUAAGGGUGCAAAGGUGCGGUAAGAGCGCACCAGCAACAUUGAGAAGUGUUGGCUCGGUAAACCCCGGUUGGGAGCAAGGUCGAAGGGGCAACGGUUGGUCUUUUCCCCGCCCCACUGAUGUGUACCGCUUGAGGUGAUUGGUAACAAUCGUCCCAGAUAGAUAAUCGCCCUCUUUGCGUUUGUCAGGAACGUGAAGAGAACAGAACCCGGCUUACGACCUACUCUUCUGU